rnacentral:rRNA from 1 species
GACGAACGCUGGCGGCGUGCUUAACACAUGCAAGUCGAACGGAAAGGCCCUGCUUUUGUGGGGUGCUCGAGUGGCGAACGGGUGAGUAACACGUGAGUAACAUGCCCUUGACUUUGGGAUAACUUCAGGAAACUGGGGCUAAUAUCGGAUAGGAGAUCCUGCUGCAUGGUGGGGGUUGGAAAGUUUCGGUGGUUGGGGAUGGACUCGAGGCUUAUCCGCUUGUUGGUGGGGUAGUGGCUUACCAAGGUUUUGACGGGUAGCCGGCCUGGGAGGGUGACCGGCCACAUUGGGACUGAGGUAGGGCCCAGACGCCUACGGGAGGCAGCAGGGGAGAACAUGGCGCAAUAGGCGGAAGCCAGAGACAGCAGUGCCGCGUGCGGAAUGACGGCCUUCGGGUUAUAAACCACUGUCGCCGGUGACGAGGCGGGAGUGACGGUAAUGGAUAAAGAAGCACCGGCUAACUACGUG